rnacentral:rRNA from 1 species
UACGUAGGGGGCAAGCGUUAUCCGGAAUUACUGGGUGUAAAGGGAGCGUAGACGGUAAUGUAAGUCUGGAGUGAAAGGCGGGGGCCCAACCCCCGGACUGCUCUGGAAACUAUGUUACUAGAGUGCAGGAGAGGUAAGCGGAAUUCCUAGUGUAGCGGUGAAAUGCGUAGAUAUUAGGAAGAACACCAGUGGCGAAGGCGGCUUGCUGGACAGUAACUGACGUUGAGGCUCGAAAGCGUGGGGAGCAAACAGG